ACUCAUAUCCUACUCUCCCAUCAGCCACCCAUCAGCCACCUUAUAGCCAGCUAAAAGCAAGCAUCCCACACCCACCUACUCCUUUCUUUUUGAAAAGUCAACAUCACCACCCACUUCCACCACCAACAUCACCAUCAAUCCUCUGCACUAUACCUAUUACAGCACACUCCAUGCUUCUACAAAUUCAUUGACAUACUUUAGUCAUUCUCAUCCAUUUCAUCACAAUCCCUCACGCAAUUCAUCAUCUUUCACUCUCACAAGAAACACCAAGACAAAGCGGCCAAACAAAUUCAAGCAAACCGACCCAACCGAAAUCUUUCUAAAAGGCUUUGUGACCAGGGGGAUUAGCGCUGCUUUCCCAAGACAGGUUUUUAUGUGUAUGAUCUUCAGGCUUUGCCUAUCCAGGUUGGCUGGCCGGUGCUGACGGGACGGAGCUGAGGCUAGAGAUAAAUUCCUAUGUUAGACUUCCGCUGUAGCAAUUACUCAUAUCAGUCUUUUGUUUUCCCAACUUAAGAUCUUCAUGUUAAAUUUCAAAUGAUAUAUCUGACCGAGCUUAGACUCUUCACUACUUAAUUUAUGCCAAUGAAUGUCGGUUGUCAGAA